rnacentral:snRNA from 1 species
GUGCUAGCUUUGGCAGGAUAUAUACUAAAAUUAGAGCGAUAAAGAGAUUAGCAUGGCACCUGCACAAGGAUGACAUGCAAAUUCAUGAAGCAUUCCAUAUUUUG